rnacentral:rRNA from 1 species
CCUACGGGUGGCAGCAGUGGGGAAUAUUGCACAAUGGGGGAAACCCUGAUGCAGCGACGCCGCGUGAGUGAAGAAGUAUCUCGGUACGUAAAGCUCUAUCAGCAGGAAAGAAAAUGACGGUACCUGACUAAGAAGCUCUGGCGAAAUACGUGCCAGCAGCCGCGGUAAUACGUAGGGGGCAAGCGUUAUCCGGAUAUACUGGGUGGAAAGGGAGCGUAGACGGUGCUGCAAGUCCGGAGUGAAAGCCCAUGGCUUAAACAUGGUACUGCUCUGGAAACUGUAGAGCUUGAGUGCGAGAGGGGCAGACGGAAUUCCUAGUGUAGCGGUGGAAUGCGUAGAUAUUAGGAGGAACACCGGCGGCGAAGGCAGCCUGCUGGACCGUAACUGACGUUGAGGCUCGAAAGCGUGGGGAGCAAACAGGAUUAGAUACCCUUGUAGUC